CAGUAUGCAAUUUACCCAAAGUACUACUAUUUUCAGUAAACUAGAUCAGAUUUUCCUCUUUACUAGUGUUUUACUGUCUUUUGUCAAAAGCAGGAUCUAAGAGUAACAGAAGGUCACCUGGCAGAGCCUUCCCCACUGUUUCCUUACAGUAUGGUAAUGGUGGACAUGGUCAAUCCCUGUCACCCCUUAGACAGAACUGCCUUAAAGCUUAGGUGUUUGCAAACCUGCCUGCCCAUGCUUCUCACUCUUUCUACCUAAGAUCUUUUAUCUUCAGAAACUGAAGUUCUUUUAAACAUUGUUCUUCAUUUACUAUAGCCCCCUUCUGAAGAAAUAAAAACAGGUGAGGAUGAAGAUGAGGAAGAUAAUGAUGCUUUACUAAAGGAAAAUGAAAGUCCUGAUGUUCGGCGAGAUAAACCUCUAACAGGGGAACAGAUAGAGUCAUUUGCCAACAAACUUGGUGAGCAGUGGAAGAUUUUGGCUCCUUACCUGGAAAUUAAAGACUCUGACAUUAGGCAGAUUGAAUGUGACAGUGAGGACAUGAAGAUGAGAGCCAAACAGCUCCUUGUUGCCUGGCAAGAUCAAGAAGGAGUUCACGCAACAACUGAUAACCUGAUUGGUGCACUGAACAAGUCUGGGUUAAGUGACCUUGCAGAAAGUCUAACUAAUGACACUGAAACAAACAGUUAGCUUUCUUUCUUUCUCUCCUUUUUUAUUGAACAGUGAUUAAGAUUUUGUUACCAAGCAGCAUUUGAUAAAAGGUUCACUGGUUUUGGUAAACAAUAAACACUUUU
rnacentral:lncRNA from 1 species